AUGUGAUCGUCUCUCGCAUAUCAAUAAGCGGAGGAAAAGAAACUAACAAGGAUUCCCCUAGUAACGGCGAGUGAAGCGGGAAGAGCUCAAAUUUGAAAUCUUAAAGGGUUUCCCUUUACGAAUUGUAGUUUAAAGAAGUGUUUUCUGUUGAGGUUUUGGUAAAAGUUCUUUGGAAUAGGACAUCAUAGAGGGUGAGAAUCCCGUAUUUGACCUUUACUUUCAACUUUGUGAUACACUUUCAAAGAGUCGGAUUGUUUGGGAAUGCAGUCCAAAAUGGGCGGUAAAUUUCAUCUAAAGCUAAAUAUUGGCGAGAGACCGAUAGCGAACAAGUACCGUGAGGGAAAGAUGAAAAGAACUUUGAAAAGAGAGUUAAACAGUACGUGAAAUUGUCAAAAGGGAAGCGUUUGACACCAGUGUUGUUUUUCUGAAAAUCAAUUAAAGAACUGUUUAUGCUAAGUUGUUUAGACUUUAUCAGCUAACUGUUUAGUUUUGAGCUUUUCUUUAAUGCACUUUUCAGUUAACAAGUCAACAUCAAUUUCUUUUGCUGUAAAAAAGCUUGAGGAAGGUGGCUUGAGAUUCGUCUUAAGUGUUUAUAGCCUCUUGCCUAUGCAGUCGGAGAGAUUGAGGUCUGCAGCGUAGAUCCUUCGGGGCUAAAUGCAUUUGUGCUAAGUUAUAGCAUUUUAUAGACAACUUGUUGACUAUGAUUUGUCUUGUAGCUUACUCGCUUAUGUUAUUUUACCUACGCUUAGGAUGUUGAAGAUAUGCGCGACACG
rnacentral:rRNA from 1 species